AGACAAAACUGAUAGGCCAACAAC
rnacentral:siRNA from 1 species